rnacentral:rRNA from 1 species
GACGAACCGUGCAAACGUUAUUCGGAAUCACUGGGCUUAAAGGGCGCGUAGGCGGGCUCCCAAGUCGGUGGUGAAAUCUUUCGGCCCAACCGGAAAAGUGCCGCCGAUACUGGGAGCCUCGAGGGAGGUAGGGGUCGAGGGAACUCUAGGUGGAGCGGUGAAAUGCGUAGAUAUCUGGAGGAACGCCGGUGGCGAAAGCGCUCGACUGGACCUCUUCUGACGCUGAGGCGCGAAAGCGUGGGGAGCAAACAGG